GCUUGCUUCGGGGCGCAUGCGCUGACGUUGGACCGCUACAGGGAAGACCAGCAAGGCCUCUGUGCAAGAACGACAUGAGAAUUCAGGAAGCGCCCAUAUUCUUU